UACGUAGGGUGCGAGCGUUGUCCGGAAUUAUUGGGCGUAAAGAGCUCGUAGGCGGUUUGUCACGUCUGCUGUGAAAUCCCGAGGCUCAACCUCGGGCCUGCAGUGGGUACGGGCAGACUAGAGUGCGGUAGGGGUGACUGGAAUUCCUGGUGUAGCGGUGGAAUGCGCAGAUAUCAGGAGGAACACCGAUGGCGAAGGCAGGUCACUGGGCCGCAACUGACGCUGAGGAGCGAAAGCAUGGGGAGCGAACAGG
rnacentral:rRNA from 1 species